UCACCGUUUCUCUUGGUUUCGCUCUUCUUUCAUGGCAGGACUAUUCUUAGAGAAGCUUCUGUAUCUGUUCCAGCAUUGUUGUUGUGCUUGUUUAAUGGCUCUGUGUGUUUGUUAGUGUGGUCUUGAAGAUGACGUGGAUUUCUGGGAUAAUUAAACUAGAAGGUUGACGUGGUUUCCAUGGGCCGGGUCAGGAAAUACCAGGCCAGAGUGAGAAAAAGGGCCUCUGUUUUCUCUUCUGUGUGUGUGUGUGUGUUUGAGAGAAGGCUUUGAUAUGCUCAGACCAGUAAUGCUAGCCUGCUACAGCCAAACUCCUGUCCCAGUUUCAAGCUGGUCUGUUGUAGUUAAUGAUAUCAUAUUUGAAAGGGACUCCAUUGGAGGGUUUUUGUGGAAAACAUGUUGUUCACCAGGCAAUAUCACACCCCCUGUCCUAUUCUAUAGCAUAAAUACA